GGCUCAGGAUGAACGCUAGCUACAGGCUUAACACAUGCAAGUCGAGGGGCAGCAUUUUAGUUUGCUUGCAAACUAAAGAUGGCGACCGGCGCACGGGUGAGUAACACGUAUCCAACCUGCCGAUAACUCGGGGAUAGCCUUUCGAAAGAAAGAUUAAUAUCCGAUAGUAUAUUAAAACCGCAUGGUUUUACUAUUAAAGAAUUUCGGUUAUCGAUGGGGAUGCGUUCCAUUAGUUUGUUGGCGGGGUAACGGCCCACCAAGACUACGAUGGAUAGGGGUUCUGAGAGGAAGGUCCCCCACAUUGGAACUGAGACACGGUCCAAACUCCUACGGGAGGCAGCAGUGAGGAAUAUUGGUCAAUGGACGAGAGUCUGAACCAGCCAAGUAGCGUGAAGGAUGACUGCCCUAUGGGUUGUAAACUUCUUUUAUAUGGGAAUAAAGUAUUCCACGUGUGGGAUUUUGUAUGUACCAUAUGAAUAAGGAUCGGCUAACUCCGUGCCAGCAGCCGCGGUAAUACGGAGGAUCCGAGCGUUAUCCGGAUUUAUUGGGUUUAAAGGGAGCGUAGGUGGAUUGUUAAGUCAGUUGUGAAAGUUUGCGGCUCAACCGUAAAAUUGCAGUUGAAACUGGCAGUCUUGAGUACAGUAGAGGUGGGCGGAAUUCGUGGUGUAGCGGUGAAAUGCUUAGAUAUCACGAAGAACUCCGAUUGCGAAGGCAGCUCACUGGACUGCAACUGACACUGAUGCUCGAAAGUGUGGGUAUCAAACAGGAUUAGAUACCCUGGUAGUCCACACAGUAAACGAUGAAUACUCGCUGUUUGCGAUAUACAGUAAGCGGCCAAGCGAAAGCAUUAAGUAUUCCACCUGGGGAGUACGCCGGCAACGGUGAAACUCAAAGGAAUUGGCGGGGGCCCGCACAAGCGGAGGAACAUGUGGUUUAAUUCGAUGAUACGCGAGGAACCUUACCCGGGCUUAAAUUGCAUUUGAAUAAUCUGGAAACAGGUUAGCCGCAAGGCAAAUGUGAAGGUGCUGCAUGGUUGUCGUCAGCUCGUGCCGUGAGGUGUCGGCUUAAGUGCCAUAACGAGCGCAACCCUUAUCUUUAGUUACUAACAGGUCAUGCUGAGGACUCUGGAGAGACUGCCGUCGUAAGAUGUGAGGAAGGUGGGGAUGACGUCAAAUCAGCACGGCCCUUACGUCCGGGGCUACACACGUGUUACAAUGGGGGGUACAGAAGGCAGCUACCUGGCGACAGGAUGCUAAUCCCAAAAACCUCUCUCAGUUCGGAUCGAAGUCUGCAACCCGACUUCGUGAAGCUGGAUUCGCUAGUAAUCGCGCAUCAGCCAUGGCGCGGUGAAUACGUUCCCGGGCCUUGUACACACCGCCCGUCAAGCCAUGAAAGCCGGGGGUACCUGAAGUACGUAACCGCAAGGAGCGUCCUAGGGUAAAAC
rnacentral:rRNA from 1 species